AUUGAACGCUGGCGGCAGGCCUAACACAUGCAAGUCGAACGAGUGGCGGACGGGUGAGUAAUGUCUGGGAAACUGCCUGAUGGAGGGGGAUAACUACUGGAAACGGUAGCUAAUACCGCAUACCAUCGGAUGUGCCCAGAUGGGAUUAGCUAGUAGGUGGGGUAACGGCUCACCUAGGCGACGAUCCCUAGCUGGUCUGAGAGGAUGACAAGCAACAUUGGAACUAGGACACGGUCAAGACUCCGACGGGAGGCAGAGGUGGGGAAUAUUGCACAAUGGGCGCAAGCCUGAUGCAGCCAGGCCGCGUGUAUGAAGAAGGCCUGCGGGUUGUAAAGUACUUUCAGCGGGGAGGCUUUACCCGCAGAAGAAGCACCGGCUAACUCCGUGCCAGCAGCCGCGGUAAUAC
rnacentral:rRNA from 1 species